CUUUCUUUGCUGGCGACCGGCGCACGGGUGAGUAACACGUAUCCAACCUGCCCUUUACUCGGGGAUAGCCUUUCGAAAGAAAGAUUAAUACCCGAUGGCAUAGUUCUUCCGCAUGGUAGAACUAUUAAAGAAUUUCGGUCAUCGAUGGGGAUGCGUUCCAUUAGGUUGUUGGCGGGGUAACGGCCCACCUAGUCUUCGAUGGAUAGGGGUUCUGAGAGGAAGGUCCCCCACAUUGGAACUGAGACACGGUCCAA
rnacentral:rRNA from 1 species